GAUGAACGUUGGCGGCGUGCCUAAUACAUGCAAGUCGAACGAAGAGUUCCGAGUAGCAAUACCUGGAAUACUCUUAGUGGCGAACGGGUGAGUAACGCGUUGGUGACCUGCCCCAAAGAGAGGAAUAACAGUUCGAAAGGACUGCUAAUACCUCAUGUGAUCAUAUGGUUUAGAAACAUAUGAUGAAAGGAGCUUGCUCCGCUUUGGGAGGGGCCUGCGUCCCAUCAGCUAGUUGGUAGGGUAAUGGCCUACCAAGGCUAAGACGGGUAGGGGACCUGAGAGGGUGGCCCCCCACAAUGGAACUGAAACACGGUCCAUACACCUACGGGUGGCAGCAGUAGGGAAUAUUGGUAAUCUGCGAAAGCGGGAACCAGCAACGCCGCGUGUGCGAAGAAGGCCUUCGGGUUGUAAAGCACUUUUCGGGAGGAAGAGGAAGGACUGUACUCCCGGAAUAAGUCUCGGCUAACUACGUGCCAGCAGCCGCGGUAACACGUAGGAGGCUAACGUUAUCCGGAUUUAUUGGGCGUAAAGCGCGUGCAGGCGGUAUGAUAAGUUGGGCGUGAAAGCUCCCGGCUCAACUGGGAGAGGUCGUUCAAUACUGUCAAACUUGAGGAUGGUAGAGGGAGGUGGAAUUCCGGGUGUAGUGGUGAAAUGCGCAGAUAUCCGGAGGAACACCAGUGGCGAAGGCGGCCUCCUGGACCAUUCCUGACGCUCAGACGCGAAAGCUAGGGUAGCAAACG
rnacentral:rRNA from 1 species